rnacentral:hammerhead_ribozyme from 1 species
GCACUACUGAGGAGUCCCACAAUAAGGCGAAACGCUUUUCCAGUAC